UAACCAGGCCACAAGACAGGAGUCAGUACAACUAACCAGGCCACAAGACAGGAGUCAGUACAACUAACCAGGCCACAAGACAGGAGUUAGUACAACUAACCAGGCCACAAGACAGGAGUUAGUACAACUAACCAGGCCACAAGACAGGAGUCAGUACAACUAACCAGGCCACAAGACAGGAGUCAGUACAACUAACCAGGCCACAAGACAGGAGUCAGUACAACUAACCAGGCCACAAGACAGGAGUCAGUACAACUAACCAGGCCACAAGACAGGAGUCAGUACAACUAACCAGGCCACAAGACAGGAGUCAGUACAACUAACCAGGCCACAAGACAGGAGUCAGUACAACUAACCAGGCCACAAGACAGGAGUCAGUACAACUAACCAGGCCACAAGACAGGAGUCAGUACAACUAACCAGGCCACAAGACAGGAGUCAGUACAACUAACCAGGCCACAAGACAGGAGUCAGUACAACUAACCAGGCCACAAGACAGGAGUCAGUACAACUAACCAGGCCACAAGACAGGAGUCAGUACAACUAACCAGGCCACAAGACAGGAGUGGUUCCCUGUAUGAAAACAUGUCACCAUAAAACAUACACAUGUAAACAAAAAGAAGAAGUGAUGUUUUUUAAAUUUUUAUAUCAGAAUGUUGUUGACCGUGACCCAAGUCACAAAGCAUAACAAUGAGGACUAGCAGGACUCCUCCCAGUCCUGCAUUUUCCUGGAGAGGCUUCCUGUCCACCAGCUGGAACAAUCAAAACGGACUCAUUCUCCAGUACAGUACAACAAUCACAUGCUGCAGGAAUGUCAACAGCCGUUCAUCAAGAAUAGCCAAGCUGCUGGGACAAGCCCACUACGGGGCUGUCACUGGCUGGCUCAGCCAAACACACUGAAGGACAUUCCCUGAUUGUGUUGCAAAUGGCAACCUAUUCAACAGAGCCCCGGUCAAAAGUAGUGCACUAUAUAGGGCGUAGGGUGCCAUUUGGGAGGGAGACCGAGUCUUAACGGCCAAAACGGUGGCUUGUUUGACCUUGGAACAAACAACAGAUGUCGUGUCAUUUGGAGGACGUUUGCUGCAGUAGAACAAAAUACCAAUGUAAACAAAGGGACGGAGGGUCAAGGAGGAAGCUGUAAAGUGGACUUUGGUUGUGUUGGUCGCACCCAGUAACACUGGUAGACUACAUACAGUGUG